rnacentral:rRNA from 1 species
GACGAACGCUGGCGGCGUGCCUAAUACAUGCAAGUAGAACGCUGAAGGAGGAGCUUGCUUCUCUGGAUGAGUUGCGAACGGGUGAGUAACGCGUAGGUAACCUGCCUGGUAGCGGGGGAUAACUAUUGGAAACGAUAGCUAAUACCGCAUAAUAGUAGUUGUUGCAUGACAUUUGCUUAAAAGGUGCAAUUGCACCACUACCAGAUGGACCUGCGUUGUAUUAGCUAGUUGGUGGGGUAACGGCUCACCAAGGCGACGAUACAUAGCCGACCUGAGAGGGUGAUCGGCCACACUGGGACUGAGACACGGCCCAGACUCCUACGGGAGGCAGCAGUAGGGAAUCUUCGGCAAUGGACGGAAGUCUGACCGAGCAACGCCGCGUGAGUGAAGAAGGUUUUCGGAUCGUAAAGCUCUGUUGUAAGAGAAGAACGAGUGUGAGAGUGGAAAGUUCACACUGUGACGGUAUCUUACCAGAAAGGGACGGCUAACUACGUG